CUUAUUAACCAUCCUUAUAAGCUUCUUAAAAAUUUAUUUUUGGCUGUUAAAUUUUUUKGUUUAAAUAUAUACUUUGACCUUAAAAAUAUUAAUAUAUUUAACUGUUUAUAAAAACAGGAGUUAGACGUCCUUUAUUUUUCAUGUUAAUAAAAAUAGGUAUUAAUGAAAUUUUCCUAAACCUAAACAAAGUGGCAGUAAUUUACCCUAAACAGAGAAACUUGGGCCUUAAAUAGAUACUCCUCUUUUUAUCUUACCUUAAUUUCUUUUUUGUGUGACUGUUAUAAAAAAACAUUUUAUGUUACUUUAAGCUCAAGUUUUAUAAAAAUAAAUAAAGGGUUACUUUAGUUACAUUAACUUAAUUAUUAUAAACAGUUAGAAAUAUUUUACUAUUGAAUUUGUCCGUAAGUGUUAUUAUAAGAUAUUACGUUGGAUUAGUUAUGAAUUAAGUACAUAUUGUCCGCCGCUCUCAUUAAA
rnacentral:rRNA from 1 species